CGCCAGGAAAGGAGUGGAAAAAAGUGGGCGAGGAGGAGCGUUGAAAAUUUCCUGACAAGUAGUUUCCGUGCGCCCGAGAGCGUGUGAAUUGCUCCUAAUUACCGUGUCCGGUGCGCCUCUCUGCGUAGACUUGUGUAACCUCUCGGCUUCUGGGGCGCCGGCUCGGCUGCACCGCUCUUACUGGCCUGGGGCGCUUGGCAAAGCCGAGCUUCCCAAGUGGCUCUGGAGCCCUGAGGCGGGAUGGGGGGCAGAUUCUCUUAAACUCAGGACGCGCAUCGGUCUGUCCGACCUUCCCGGCAAGAGACAAAGUCACUGCUGGGAGGCCCCCUCGGACAGUUUUCAGUUUUAACUUUCGCCUUAUUCUCGUCUUGUCUUGAUGUCACGGCCCUGAGGAACAGCUCGUUCUGCAGAAGAGGUAACAGGUUUCAGAUUUUGUUUCCUUUUUGAAAGGCUGUUGCCUUUCAAACAUCUGGAAUUAAUGCCGCGGCCCUCGGGCGAGUCGCCCUCGGUUUCUGUAGCUCUGAUUUUAUCUCUGUGUCUUUUCCCCUCUAAUUUCUAAAGUUCUGUUUUUCCCUCUAAUUCUG
rnacentral:lncRNA from 1 species